GAUGAACGCUGGCGGCGUGCCUAAUACAUGCAAGUCGAGCGAACAGACGAGGAGCUUGCUCCUCUGACGUUAGCGGCGGACGGGUGAGUAACACGUGGAUAACCUACCUAUAAGACUGGGAUAACUUCGGGAAACCGGAGCUAAUACCGGAUAAUAUAUUGAACCGCAUGGUUCAAUAGUUAAAGACGGUUUUGCUGUCACUUAUAGAUGGAUCCGCGCCGCAUUAGCUAGUUGGUAAGGUAACGGCUUACCAAGGCAACGAUGCGUAGCCGACCUGAGAGGGUGAUCGGCCACACUGGAACUGAGACACAGUCCAGACUCCUACGGGGGGCAGCAGUAGGGAAUCUUCCGCAAUGGGCGAAAGCCUGACGGAGCAACGCCGCGUGAGUGAUGAAGGUCUUCGGAUCGUAAAACUCUGUUAUUAGGGAAGAACAAAUGUGUAAGUAACUAUGCACGUCUUGACGGUACCUAAUCAGAAAGCCACGGCUAACUACGUG
rnacentral:rRNA from 1 species